rnacentral:rRNA from 1 species
GGAGGCAUGUGGUUUAAUUCGAAGCAACGCGAAGAACCUUACCAGGCCUUGACAUGCAGGGAACUUUCCAGAGAUGGAUUGGUGCCUUCGGGAACUCUGACACAGGUGCUGCAUGGCUGUCGUUAGCUCGUGUCGUGAGAUGUUGGGUUAAGUCCCGUAACGAGCGCAACCCUUGUCCUUAGUUACCAGCACGUUAUGGUGGGCACUCUAAGGAGACUGCCGGUGACAAACCGGAGGAAGGUGGGGAUGACGUCAAGUCAUCAUGGCCCUUACGGCCUGGGCUACACACGUGCUACAAUGGUCGGUACAAAGGGUUGCCAAGCCGCGAGGUGGAGCUAAUCCCAUAAAACCGAUCGUAGUCCGGAUCGCAGUCUGCAACUCGACUGCGUGAAGUCGGAAUCGCUAGUAAUCGUGAAUCAGAAUGUCACGGUGAAUACGUUCCCGGGCCUU